GGUGAUGUGGCGCAACGGAAGCGCAGCGGGUUGUCUACCCGAAGGUUGCGGGUUCGAACCCCGUCUUCACCGCAA
rnacentral:tRNA from 1 species